rnacentral:rRNA from 1 species
GACGAACGCUGGCGGCGUGCUUAACACAUGCAAGUCGAACGCUGAAGCUCAGCUUUUGUUGGGUGGAUGAGUGGCGAACGGGUGAGUAACACGUGAGUAACCUGCCCCCUUCUUUGGGGUAACGCCCGGAAACGGGUGCUAAUACUGGAUAUUCACUGGUCUUCGCAUGGGGGUUGGUGGAAAGGGUUUUUCUGGUGGGGGAUGGGCUCGCGGCCUAUCGGCUUGUUGGUGGGGUGAUGGCCUACCAAGGCUUUGACGGGUAGCCGGCCUGAGAGGGUGACCGGUCACAUUGGGACUGAGAUACGGCCCAGACUCCUACGGGAGGCAGCAGUGGGGAAUAAUGCACAAUGGGCGCAAGCCUGAUGCAGCGACGCCGCGUGAGGGAUGGAGGCCUUCGGGUUGUGAACCUCUUUCGCUCAUGGUCAAGCCGCAACAAUGGUUGUGGUGAGGGUAGUGGGUAAAGAAGCGCCGGCUAACUACGUG